rnacentral:rRNA from 1 species
ACACGACUACAUUAGAUACCCGUGUAGUCCCAGCCGUAAACUAUGCUCGCUAGGUGUCAGGCAUGGCGCGACCGUGUCUGGUGCCGCAGGGAAGCCGUGAAGCGAGCCACCUGGGAAGUACGGCCGCAAGGCUGAAACUUAAAGGAAUUGGCGGGGGAGCACAACAACGGGUGGAGCCUGCGGUUUAAUUGGACUCAACGCCGGACAACUCACCGGGGACGACAGCAAUAUGUAGGCCAGGCUGAAGACCUUGCCUGAAUCGCUG